rnacentral:lncRNA from 1 species
AUAAACAAGGUACACCAUCAUCAUAGUUUGACUCAAGACAUCCACAGCAGCAGCAUCCCAGCAACCAAAGAGACUCAAGCAACUUAAGAACAUAUUGUACACCAGGAAAGGCAAGGUAGUCGUAAAAACCAUCCAGCAAUGUGCAUACACCCUGGAGUGGACAAAUCAUAUAGCUUCCAUCAAGCACAGGUAGCCUCUGCAGGAAAGUAACAUUCUCGUCGAGCAAUAAAGCAGCCCUAUAACUAUUUCACAAGCAAGACCUCGGCAGAGAAACUACCAAACAACAUUUAUGAUUAAAAAAAUGGUUACUACAUUUUGUGUGAAUUAAGAGCCAAUCAACCACAGGGACCAUCAAUUUCAAUUGAGAAACACCUGUGAAGAGAAAUUUGCCAAGAACAUCCUACUUACUAGGUUCAGUCUAGGAAGAAAGGGUUAUCAUGGUGAAGCUAUUGUGUCCAUUAUGCUGGCAGGCUGUUGAAACAGAAGUUCGCGGUUCGCCUAUUUAUGCACUGCAACAUGACCGAAAUGGCUUACAUAUUCUAUUCACUUUGAAGAUUCAUGCCCCAGAUAGUACUUAUCUGAAUACUUGGCAGUUAGAGUGGUUUACAUGUUACACACACAUAUAUAUAUAUAUAAAUAAGCUAUGAAAAAUCUGAGUUUCAUUUUGGCAACCAAUCUGCCAUAUAUACUAUCAUUCAGGACUAAAGAAGUUUGCUAAACUAGGUUGAAGACUAUCCUGUUCAAUUUUUUGUAUGGUUAGAAUAGCUAAUCAUUCAGGGACUAUAGUGAGAGCGUCUCAGACGUUUAGGAACCCAAAUAACUGUUUACUCAAAAAUAAAAUUAUGCAGGUUGCUGUAGAUGUUCAUUGUUCAAAUCAGAGCUUCUUCUUGGCAGCCAUAUAUCCUAUCAUUCAGGACUACAGAUGUUUGCUAAACAAUUAAAUGAUAUAGGUAUUGAGUCUAUUUUAUUAAAAAUGCUUUUUUUUUUUUUGGUAGAUAGACAAAAUGGCAAAACNNNNNNNNCCGGGGUUCGAACCCCGGUCCUGGCGUCCAGCCAAACAAUUUCGGCAUUUCUUGCGAGUUGAGCUAGGACUUGUGAACUAUUAAAAAGACAUUUAAAUGGUACAUGACAGGGAAAAAUUGUAACAGACCAAACUCUCACCUCUCUUUGGAAUACAAAAAUUCACAAUGGAUUAAAUCUAGAAACUUGAGCCAAAAAUAGAAACCAAUUGUUGCCAUGACAAAGGUUUGGAUGCACUAUAAUAAUUGAUUUUUGCUGGAUUAAAUCUAACUUUCAUUGAUUCAUUCCACUCGGUUUUUCUUCUUUCUGUUCUGAUUGAAGUCAUCGGUGGCCUCAUCUUCAGUAGAGAAUCUCUUCACAGAGCGUUCAUUUUCAUCACCUCUACAAGCAAC